AGUGAACGCUGGCGGUAGGCCUAACACAUGCAAGUCGAACGGCAGCACAGUAAGAGCUUGCUCUUACGGGUGGCGAGUGGCGGACGGGUGAGGAAUACAUCGGAAUCUACUUUUUCGUGGGGGAUAACGUAGGGAAACUUACGCUAAUACCGCAUACGACCUACGGGUGAAAGCAGGGGAUCUUCGGACCUUGCGCGAUUGAAUGAGCCGAUGUCGGAUUAGCUAGUUGGCGGGGUAAAGGCCCACCAAGGCGACGAUCCGUAGCUGGUCUGAGAGGAUGAUCAGCCACACUGGAACUGAGACACGGUCCAGACUCCUACGGGAGGCAGCAGUGGGGAAUAUUGGACAAUGGGCGCAAGCCUGAUCCAGCCAUACCGCGUGGGUGAAGAAGGCCUUCGGGUUGUAAAGCCCUUUCGUUGGGAAAGAAAGGCAGCAGGUUAAUACCCCGCUGUUCUGACGGUACCCAAAGAAUAAGCACCGGCUAACUUCGUG
rnacentral:rRNA from 1 species